rnacentral:rRNA from 1 species
AGCUCCAAUAGCGUAUAUUAAAGUUGCUGCAGUUAAAAAGCUCGUAGUUGGAUUUGGGACGGGGGUCGCGCGGUCGGCCGCAAGGUCUGCUACUGUGCGGCCUCGUCAUUUACACUCUCGGAGACCCGUCGUGCACUUCGCUGUGCGCGGCGCGGGACUCGGGACGUUUACUUUGAAAAAAUUAGAGUGUUCAAAGCAGGCUUCAUCAAGCCCGGAUACAUUAGCAUGGAAUAAUGAGAUAGGGCCACCGCGGUCUAUUUUGUUGGUUUGCACGUUGUGGUAAUGAUUAACAGGAACGGUUGGGGGUAUUCGUAUUCAAUUGUCAGAGGUGAAAUUCUUGAAUUUGUGGAAGACGAACUACUGCGAAAGCAUUUACCAAGGAUGUUUUCAUUAAUCAAGA